rnacentral:rRNA from 1 species
GAUGAACGCUGGCGGCGUGCCUAAUACAUGCAAGUCGAGCGAACGGACGAGAAGCUUGCUUCUCUGAUGUUAGCGGCGGACGGGUGAGUAACACGUGGAUAACCUACCUAUAAGACUGGGAUAACUUCGGGAAACCGGAGCUAAUACCGGAUAAUAUUUUGAACCGCAUGGUUCAAAAGUGAAAGACGGUCUUGCUGUCACUUAUAGAUGGAUCCGCGCUGCAUUAGCUAGUUGGUAAGGUAACGGCUUACCAAGGCAACGAUGCAUAGCCGACCUGAGAGGGUGAUCGGCCACACUGGAACUGAGACACGGUCCAGACUCCUACGGGAGGCAGCAGUAGGGAAUCUUCCGCAAUGGGCGAAAGCCUGACGGAGCAACGCCGCGUGAGUGAUGAAGGUCUUCGGAUCGUAAAACUCUGUUAUUAGGGAAGAACAUAUGUGUAAGUAACUGUGCACAUCUUGCCGGUACCUAAUCAGAAAGCCACGGCUAACUACGUG